rnacentral:rRNA from 1 species
GACUCCCGUAAACCACUGUGAACUUACCUACAACCCGUUGCCUCGGCGGGUGCUCCGGGCGCGUCUUCGGGCGCUCCGGGGCGCUCCAGCCCGCCGGCGGCCCCUAAACUCUGUCUCUGUAACGUUGGCAUCUCCGAGCAGACUAUAAACGAGUCAAAACUUUCAACAACGGAUCUCUUGGUUCUGGCAUCGAUGAAGAACGCAGCGAAAUGCGAUAAGUAAUGUGAAUUGCAGAAUUCAGUGAAUCAUCGAAUCUUUGAACGCACAUUGCGCCCGCCAGCACUCUGGCGGGCAUGCCUGUCCGAGCGUCAUUUCAACCCUCAGGCCCCGCCUGGCGUUGGAGCCCUGCGCAGCGCAGGCUCCCAAAGACAGCGGCGGGCGCGCCCCGGAACCGAGCGCAGUAAUGCUUUCUCGUUCUGGUCCGGCGCGCGCUCCGGCCGUAAAACCCCCAACUUUCUAAGUGGUUGACCUCGGAUCAGGUAGGAAUACCCGCUGAACUUAAGCAUAUCAAUAAGCGGAGGAAAAGAAACCAACAGGGAUUGCCUCAGUAACGGCGAGUGAAGCGGCAACAGCUCAAAUUUGAAAUCUGGCCCCCCGGCCCGAGUUGUAAUUUGCAGAGGAUGCUUCUGGCGCGGUGCCUUCC